ACAUGCCUCCACACAGGCCACAGAAAGCAGCAAUCAGUACUUCCUAUCAAAGUGUCUGAGCCUACUUAGUUGUGCUUGCACCUUCAUCCUUGACUCCUGGCAAGGCUGGUGAAAAGCAUGUUCAUAUACAGAACUGUGUUGAAAGAGCGAAGGCUCAGUACCUGCCCCACUUCAGAUCUUCUACGUGACCAGCUGGAAAUUUCAUGAAUCACAGGUGAGACCUGCACAGAGAGCUUCUGCAACAGUUUCAUUUGGAGAUCUGGCAAAAAUAGAGGAACUUGUUAGAAGAGGAGCAAAAUAGUCCUUCAUCAGUACUAAAAGCUAUCUUGAAGCUCUUAUUAAACUGCCAGUGCAGAUAGUCUCCACUUCUACUAUUUUGUUACAACACUUUGAAACUAUAAUCUGCACACAGCAAGGAAUGUGAAUGCCUGUGCUACAUCAGUUGUGUAAAAUAGCAUUCAUUUCUUUUUCUAGAGAAGUACUGUUAGCAGUAUUCUAAGUAGUACAUGCUCUCCCAGUUUGAUUAAAGUGCUAUUCUCAAAUGUAAAGCCUCUUUCAGUGUUUCAGUAGGACAGACUGCUCCAGGUAUGAUUUGCAAGUCUUGAACAUGCAUCACCCUGUAUUUUCAAAGUAUUCCUGAGGGAUGGUAGGUCAUAAUAAACAACACUACUUGCUGACAAAUAAAUUCAAGUCAUACUAUAAGAGAAUAUUGUUGAAUACACAGUUCUGACCGACUUAAUAUGGUUUCUGUCUGUUGGAAAUAAUGGUUAAAAAGAUACGGUCAGUUAACAUCUGAAAGUUGAAUGUUUGACUUGUGUAAAAGGAAGUGAUUAAAUAAGUCCUGUAGAAAUAUAUUUAGUUCAUACUUCAUACCUGCAACAGACAAAUUCAAUUCUCCUUCCGCUUGCAAAUACAAAAAUAAUUGUUUCUGAACGUGAAGUAGGAUAGGGUAGCCACAGAGAAGGCUGAGGCUUCAUUCCACCUUUAACAGAAUGUGUCAUGAUUUGACUGAAGUUUACUGAAAGAAGUAGCAAGCAGAAAAGUCAGCUAGCACACAAAUAGACUUGUGCCCUUCAAACUAAUGAGCUUACCAGUGGCAUUCUCUGGAAUUGGUGCUCUUUUGGAAUUGCGAGGAACUUUUAUACCAGUUGUAUGUUGUUGUGCUUAAAGAAGUGUAAGAGAAAGCUUCUCUUGGCCUGCCAUGAGGACAUUAUCCAGCAGGUGGAGUUUGACAGGAUGGUGUGCACAGGCCAAGUAGACAAGGGCGAACAAGUUACUGGCACUCAGGAGCUGAAGAUUGCAUGAGCAUUGAACACCUAAUAGAUUGGCACAUAAGUGCUUGGGAAACCGAAGAGUUCCUAUUAAAAUAUAUCAGCUUUAAAACAGACAAGACCUGUAAAGAGAGACGUCUUGUACCUACUCCACAGCUGAACCAUGAGAAAACUUGAUGCCAUUGGAGAGCAGUGUUUCUAUGGAACUGAUUUUCUGACCAGGCUGUGUCAUGGAAAGGAAAUGUAACUUGAGGAAGUACAGCUGUGGUGGAGGAACACGUGUGCUAGGCCCUAAGACCUGACUCUUGUAACAAGAACUAGAACAACAAAGACAAGAGAAGGAAAUUAAGGAAAGAAGGAUGACUCACAACUUGUAUAUUGAAGAUCACAUUCAGAAAUGGUGACAAGGAAGCUAUGAACAAAUCAAGAU
rnacentral:lncRNA from 7 species